rnacentral:rRNA from 1 species
UACGAAGGGGGCAAGCGAUGCUCGGAAUGACUGGGCGUAAAGGGCGCGUAGGCGGACUGCACAGUCAGGCGUGAAAUUCCUGGGCUUAACCUGGGGACUGCGUCUGAGACGUGUGAUCUAGAGUGAGGAAGAGGGUCGUGGAAUUUCCAGUGUAGAGGUGAAAUUCGUAGAUAUUGGAAAGAACUCCGGAGGCGAAGGCGGCGACCUGGUCCUUGACUGACGCUGAGGCGCGAAAGCGUGGGGAGCAAACAGG